GAAAACCUACUGUGUUUGUAAUAAAGGUUUCGUUUUGAGGCAACAUUACUACAUUGGGAGUUUGGGUUUGUUGCUGGAGCACAUGCCUCAUAAUUUGAUCGAGGACUUGCGAGAGUAGCAAUAGGACACCCACCUGCACAUGCGGGUUUCAAAACGGCCGGGUACGGCACAGUGGGGAUUUA
rnacentral:other from 1 species